rnacentral:piRNA from 1 species
CAGAGGCAGAGCCCACCUACCAUUUUC